rnacentral:rRNA from 1 species
GACGAACGCUGGUGGCGUGCCUAACACAUGCAAGUUGAGCGACGAACCAGGGCUUGCCCUGGGGCAAAGCAGCGAACGGGUGAGUAACACGUGGGUAACCUGCCCCGAUGAUCGGGACAACCCGAGGAAACUCGGGCUAAUACCGAAUGUGCUCGCCGGACACCAGUCCGGCGCGUAAAGGAAGCUUCGGCCUCCGCAUCGGGAGGGGCCCGCGGCCCAUUCGCUUGUUGGUGAGGUAACGGCUCACCAAGGCAACGAUGGGUAGCUGGUCUGAGAGGACGAUCAGCCACACUGGGACUGAGACACGGCCCAGACUCCUACGGGAGGCAGCAGUGGGGAAUCUUGCGCAAUGCGCGAAAGCGUGACGCAGCAACGCCGCGUGGGGGAAGAAGGCCUUCGGGUUGUAAACCCCUUUCAGGAGGGACGAAGGUUCGGCGGUGAAUAGCCGUCCGGACUGACGGUACCUCCACAAGAAGCCCCGGCUAACUACGUGCCAGCCGCCGCAGUAAUAC